AGUGGAUUGGAAGCGGCGUAAGCGGUGAGUGUGAAAAAAUAGUGCCAAGAAAAGUCUUGUUGAUGAUGAAGACUAGAUACUCGUACCCGAAACCGACACAGGUAGGCAAGUUGAGAAUACGAAGGGGCGCGAGAUAACUCUCUCUAAGGAACUCGGCAAAAUGACCCCGUAACUUUGGGAGAAGGGGUGCCACCGAGAGGUGGUUGCAGUGAAGAGGCCCAGGCGACUGUUUAGCAAAAACAUAGGUCUCUGCAAAACUCGAAAGAGGAGGUAUAGGGGCUGACGCCUGCCCAGUGCCGGAAGGUUAAGGAAGUUGGUCAGGAGAAAUCUGAAGCUAGCCACCGAAGCCCGGGUGAACGGCGGCCGUAACUAUAACGGUCCUAAGGUAGCGAAAUUCCUUGUCGGGUAAGUUCCGACCCGCACGAAAGGCGUAACGAUCUGGGCGCUGUCUCGGAGAGAGGCUCGGCGAAAUAGGAUUGUCUGUGAAGAUACGGACUACCUGCACUUGGACAGAAAGACCCUAUGAAGCUUUACUGUAGCUUGGAAUUGUGUUCGGGCUUCACUUGCGCAGGAUAGGUGGGAGGCGAAGAAGUUAACCUUAUGGGGUUAAUGGAGCCAACGGUGAGAUACCACUCUGGUGAGGCUAGAAUUCUAACUUAAGCCCGUAAACCGGGAAAAGGAAAGUUUCAGGUGGGCAGUUUGACUGGGGCGGUCGCCUCCAAAAAGGUAACGGAGGCGCGCAAAGGUUCCCUCAGGCUGGAUGGAAAUCAGCCGGAGAGUGUAAAGGCAGAAGGGAGCUUGACUGCGAGACUAACAAGUCGAGCAGGGUGGAAACACGGCCUUAGUGAUCCGACGGCACUGUGUGGAAGGGCCGUCGCUCAACGGAUAAAAGUUACUCUAAGGAUAACAGGCUGAUCUCCCCCAAGAGUUCACAUCGACGGGGAGGUUUGGCACCUCGAUGUCGGCUCAUCGCAACCUGGGGCGGAAGUACGUCCCAAGGGUUGGGCUGUUCGCCCAUUAAAGCGGUACGUGAGCUGGGUUCAGAACGUCGUGAGACAGUUCGGUCCAUAUCCGGUGCAGGCGUAAGAGUAUUGAGAGGAGUCUUCCUUAGUACGAGAGGACCGGGAAGGACGCACCGCUAGUGUACCUGUUAUCGUACCAACGGUAAACGCAGGGUAGCUAAGUGCGGAGAGGAUAACCGCUGAAAGCAUCUAAGUGGGAAGCCCACCUCAAGAUGAGUACUCUCACCAUAUUGGUUAAGGUCACGGGAAGAACACCCGUUGAUAGGCAUCAGGUGGAAGUGCAGUAAUGUAUGAAGCCGAAGUGUACUAACAGACCGAGGGCUUGACCGU
rnacentral:rRNA from 1 species